rnacentral:lncRNA from 1 species
AAAGAGACAGAACAAUGUUAUAGGACUGUAUUGUCUGCUAGACCAUUUAUUCAAAGUGGGAGGAUGAUGUUCUAAAAGCCAAUGAUAAAGCUCAUGGCAAUGCAGGGUAUAUCUGAUGGCAUGGAAUGCUUUAGGAUGGCCAAGAUUGCCCAUCAAAUGCCAAGUCACCGAAGGAGCCUGACAUCAUGGUGAGCAUCGAGAAAGGAAUAACCUAAGCUGAAGACACGCCUUUUCAGGAGGCCAAGUUCCACGUUCUGUGCAUGCUUUUGGCGAAAGUCAGGUAAAGCCUCCAGAAAUGCAUGGUCUAUUCUCUCGGACCAUAUGGCUGUGGGCAAACUCUGGCUUCUUGGAGCCUCCAUUAGCCACCUAGGGAAAGGUAAUUGGCUUUAUGUUUGGCUCCAUCACUGCUGGCGACAAGCUCCACUGCAUUCUCAAGCAGUAGAUGAAAUACAACUGUGCUCCUGAAUGCAGCAAAGGAAAGAGAACCCAACUGGACCAGUGUGAAAUUGGGACCUUUGGAGGCAAGAAUGCACAUAUUUAUAAAUGAAUAAACAUAAUUUUUCUCUCUUCU